rnacentral:rRNA from 1 species
CCUACGGGUGGCAGCAGUGAGGAAUAUUGGUCAAUGGACGCAAGUCUGAACCAGCCAUGCCGCGUGCAGGAAGACGGCUCUAUGAGUUGUAAACUGCUUUUGUACGAGGGUAAACGCAGAUACGCGUAUCUGUCUGAAAGUAUCGUACGAAUAAGGAUCGGCUAACUCCGUGCCAGCAGCCGCGGUAAUAAGGAGGAUUCGAGCGUUAUCCGGAUUUAUUGGGUUUAAAGGGUGCGUAGGUGGUCGGAUAAGUUAGAGGUGAAAUUCCGCGGCUCAACUUCGGAAUUGCAUCUGAUACUGGUCGUCUAGAGUGUAGUUGAGGUAGGCGGAAUGUGUGGUGUAGCGGGGAAAUGCUUAGAGAUCAUACAGAACUCCGAUUGCGAAGGCAGCUUACCAAGCUACUUCUGACGUUGAGGCACGAAAGCGUGGGGAGCAAACAGGAUUAGAUACCCGUGUAGUC